CCUGGACACAGGUGCUGCAUGGCUGUCGUCAGCUCGUGUCGUGAGAUGUUGGGUUAAGUCCCCGCAACGAGCGCAACCCUUGUCAUUAAUUGCCAUCAUUCAGUUGGGCACUUUAAUGAGACUGCCGGUGACAAACCGGAGGAAGGUGGGGAUGACGUCAAGUCCUCAUGGCCCUUAUGGGUAGGGCUUCACACGUCAUACAAUGGUCGGUACAGAGGGUUGCCAAGCCGCGAGGUGGAGCCAAUCCCAGAAAGCCGAUCGUAGUCCGGAUCGCAGUCUGCAACUCGACUGCGUGAAGUCGGAAUCGCUAGUAAUCGCGGAUCAGCAUGUCGCGGUGAAUACGUUCCCGGGUCUUGUACACACCGCCCGUCACACCAUGGGAGUGGGUUCUACCAGAAGUAGUUAGCCUAACCGUAAGGAGGGCGAUUACUACGGUAGGAUUCAUGACUGGGGU
rnacentral:rRNA from 1 species